CAAACCCCCAGCAUCCUGCUGCAGGCAAGCCUCUCUGGACUGAGCUGUGUCUAACAGGCACCUCUCCUUUCCCACUCCAUUGCGGGACCCCCGCCAAGAGUGACCUAUGCCCUGAAGGGGGAGCCAGGCUAGGAGCCACUGCAGCUGUUGGCAGAGGAGGGCCCGGGAGGAGAGAAAAGGGAGGCCCUGUGAUUGGGCUCGCUGGCAUUGUGACUGCAGGGAGCUCUGCAUUGAGCCCUGCGCCGGUCCCCCACCGGCCUCUCCUCCAGUCUCAGCCCUAGUUUUCCCUUUCUCACAAGGCGUUUGAUUUCUGCAGACACUCCGGUGGUGGGAGCACUAGACGUGCACAGACAGACAGUCAUGGACCCCUCCCCUUGCUGCUCUGGUGCAGGACGGGGCUAUUCCGCAUGUGACUGAGAACAUGCCUAUUGCAUUGGCCACCUAAAGUUUUAACGUGAAACACCCAGGUAGGAGGGAAAGGCUCCUGCAGCAGCGCCUCUCAUGGGAUGUCACGUGGGUCUGAGGAUCAGCUGGCUUGCCAUGACACUUAAACCUACCCACACUGCAAGUGCGCUGCAGGACGGGGAAGCCCUGGGAUGCCUAGCUUAGUUGGGUACUGUGCAGUCCUGUAGCUUCACUUCCUGUCCUAAACACUGGGGUAGUGUUGCUAUGCGCUGUUAAACAGUUGCUGCGUUCCUCCCCAGAAGUGGCUGCAUCUUAGCAGAUGGCUGCCAUAUGAACCCUGUGCAUAGCUGGUAUGUCAGUUCCCAAAAUGGAAAUGCUCCCUGGAUAUUAAUUCCUUUCCCUUCACUCACCCUGUAAUUGUUCAGAAAGUGAAAAUAGAGUCAUGUUAAUACUAUUUUGGAGAAAAAUCUUCUAUUUAGCUUUUUCUAAGCAGCAUCGCCCUCUGCCAACCGGGGGACUGCCAGCCCUGCCCAGAUACCAUAGUGGGUGGCACUUCAUAACGACACAGACAGAGAGAACCCAUUCCAGACCAGUGCCCUGGUGUUUGGAGAUCUGGAUUGCAGCUGCUCUGACUCUGAAUUUACUCCCCUCGCUAGGAGAUCCGGAAGUUGGCACUCAGCCU
rnacentral:lncRNA from 1 species